rnacentral:rRNA from 1 species
UACGUAGGGACCGAGCGUUGUCCGGAAUCAUUGGGCGUAAAGAGCGUGUAGGCGGCCAUUUAAGUCCUGCGUGAAAUCCUGCGGCUCAACCGCAGGCGGUCGUGGGAAACUGGAUGGCUAGAGUGCGGGAGAGGAGAGUGGAAUUCCUGGUGUAGCGGUGGAAUGCGCAGAUAUCAGGAAGAACACCCGUGGCGAAGGCGGCUCUCUGGACAGUUCCUGACGCUGAGGCACGAAGGUCAGGGGAGCAAACGGG